GACGAACGCUGGCGGCGUGCUUAACACAUGCAAGUCGAACGGAAAGGCCCUGCUUUUGUGGGGUGCUCGAGUGGCGAACGGGUGAGUAACACGUGAGUAACCUGCCCUUGACUUUGGGAUAACUUCAGGAAACUGGGGCUAAUACUGGAUAGGAGCUCCUGCUGCAUGGUGGGGGUUGGAAAGUUUCGGCGGUUGGGGAUGGACUCGCGGCUUAUCAGCUUGUUGGUGGGGUAGUGGCUUACCAAGGCUUUGACGGGUAGCCGGCCUGAGAGGGUGACCGGCCACAUUGGGACUGAGAUACGGCCCAGACUCCUACGGGAGGCAGCAGUGGGGAAUAUUGCACAAUGGGCGGAAGCCUGAUGCAGCAACGCCGCGUGCGGGAUGACGGCCUUCGGGUUGUAAACCGCUUUCGCCUGUGACGAAGCGUGAGUGACGUAAUGUAAGAAGCCCCGCA
rnacentral:rRNA from 1 species